AGCGGCACCAGGCUCAGCCAUGUGCUAGAAUCAUGGCCUGAGCAGGCUCUCUGAGCUUUAUUGUCAACUUUAUAUGAUAAAGAUAACAGCAGCUUCCUUGAAGACUGCUUUAAGAAUUGCAGAUUCAUCAUAAGCUCUUCAACACAGCUACCGUUUAUGUUGUAUGUUCAACCUUAAACCAAUUACUGUACUACUUCCUGUCACCAUGUGGAGAAGGAUGUGUUUGCUUCACCUUCUGCCAUAAUUGUAAUUUUCCUGAGGCCUCCCCAACCCUGCAGAACUACUUCCUGGUCCUUGAUGCUCAAGAGAGGGAGAAAAAAAGACUGCUCCUGGGACAAGAUAAGUCUAUAGUGGACCUUGGCACUUGGAAAUUCACCAGGGAAAAGCUAGAUGAUACUGUGUGAGGGUCUGACCAACAUAAAGGGUGCGACAAGGAUGCCCCAAGGCUCAGGAUGUUAAAAAUUUGAGGCACCAGGAGUAACCAGA